rnacentral:lncRNA from 1 species
UCACGAUGCAUUUCAUACAAAGUCAAAUCCCUUUAUAUAUCUGAAUGUAUAGUGGGAGGAAAGUAGCUAAGAAAAAUCUGAACGAAGUGGCCUAUGUUCUUGUGAGGUUCCUUUUAGAGAACUUUUCAAAUCCAUAAAUUUUAGACUAAUAAUAAUAGAAAAGGUAAUAUUACUACAUCUUAUAUCACUUCAAUACAUAUAACAAAGUGUUACAGACUUCAUCCAUACCCUUAAAACUUCCAGGUGAUCACUAGUAUUUACACAACCGACUCCACUUUUGUGUCAUACAAAGGAAGCAUACUUAUUUGUGCCUAUAUACAUCCUAUUACAUAUAAAACACAGUGCAUAAAAGAGAGCCUUCGUUACAUAUAAAACACAGUGCAUAGAAUCUAAGCCACAGCUUGAGAUUUCCUCCUAUAAUCCUUGACCAUUACACCUUCGUUAAACUGCAACACGUCAUAGCAAUUAAUAUUCUCUUCUGGUUUUACCUGAUGAACACGAGCCUGUUGCAUAAGAACUGGACCUUCUAUUUUCUUGUGAAUAAGGUUUUCGUUGAUUAGACCUCGUGUUUUUUCCAAAAUAUGCAUCAAGUAUGGCGAAGCCUUCUUUUCCUAUUCUUGCAAGAUCUGCCUUGGACGACAUAUUUUAAGGUUGCAGAAAUGAGUAUGCCAAGGAGUUACAAGGAAUUGUUUUGUGUUGUUCUUGAUGCAUUUGAUACAAGUGACGGCCCUUUAUAUGGAAA